GAUGAACGCUAGCGGCAGGCCUAAUACAUGCAAGCUGAACGGUAAAUGUUGUAGCAAUACAAUAUGAGAGUAGCGUAAGGGUGCGUAACACGUAUGCAAUCUACCCGCAACAGGAGGAUAGCUCCCCGAAAGGGAAUUAAUACUCCAUAAGAUCACGAGAGGGCAUCCGAUUGUGAUUAGACUCCAAGGGGUUGCGGAUGAGCAUGCGCCNGAUUAGUUAGUUGGUGAGGUAACGGCUCACCAAGACGAUGAUCAGUAGGGGAACU
rnacentral:rRNA from 1 species